rnacentral:rRNA from 1 species
AUUGAACGCUGGCGGCAGGCUCAACACAUGCAAGUCGAACGAGUGGCGGACGCGGGAGUAAUGCUUGGAAAUCUAGCUUAUGGAGGGGGAUAACUACGGGAAACCGUAGCUAAUACCGCGUACCAUAGGAUGAGCCCAAGUGGGAGUAGGUAGGUGGUGAGGUAAAGGCUCACCAAGCCCACGAUCUCUAGCUGGUCUGAGAGGAUGACCAGCCACACGGGGACUGAGCCACGGCCCAGACUCCUACGGGAGGCAGCAGUGGGGAAUAUGGCACAAGGGGCGCAAGCCUGAUGCAGCCAUGCCGCGUGUAUGAAGAAGGCUUUCGGGUUGUAAAGUACUUUCAGUCGGGAGGCGUUACCGACAGAAGAAGCACCGGCUAACUCCGUGCCAGCAGCCGCGGUAAUUC